rnacentral:tRNA from 2 species
GGGCUGAUCGUCCAACGGCAAGACACCGCCCUGGCGUGGCGGAAAUCCGGGUUCGAUUCCCGGUCGGUCCA